UUCUGGGAUCACCCAUCGUCAUCUUCCUCUCUCUAAAGAGUAGUACCCUCUCUCUCUCUCUCUAAUAUUCUUAGCUAUGACCUUAAUUUACAAAUAUGUAUUUUUAAUUUAGCUCUGCGUUGUAAUUCUUGGUUUAGGAUGGUAGAUCAUGAUCGCAGAAGGGAAGCUAUGAAGAAACAAAGAUCACAAGCUAGAGAGGGUUUGCGUGCAAAUCGAGAACUGGGUUUUGAAAGAAACUUUGAGAGAGUUGUUAGAAACAUCCAAGAAAGUGAGAUGAAUGAAGAUCUAGCAAGUUUUUUGCAGGAUCUUUCUUGUUCUCUGGCUCGUACUGCUAAAGCUGCAUAGUUUGUUUUGGCAAAUAUGUUAAAUAAAUUACUUAAUUAUUGUAUGCUUUUUGAAUAUUUUUUAAAGAUUCUUCUCCCAUAAUAUUAUUACUACCCACUACAGUUUGAUAUGGCACUAUUCAAUUCUUUUUUUUCUUUUCUUUUAUGAUGUUUG
rnacentral:misc_RNA from 1 species